CAGCCGCCGCGGUAAUACGAGGGGAGCUAGCGUUGUUCGGAAUUACUGGGCGUAAAGCGCGCGUAGGCGGCUUUUUAAGUCAGAGGUGAAAGCCCGGGGCUCAACCCCGGAAUUGCCUUUGAAACUGGAAAGCUAGAAUCUUGGAGAGGUCAGUGGAAUUCCGAGUGUAGAGGUGAAAUUCGUAGAUAUUCGGAAGAACACCAGUGGCGAAGGCGACUGACUGGACAAGUAUUGACGCUGAGGUGCGAAAGCGUGGGGAGCAAACAGGAUUAGAUACCCCGGUAGUCCCUGUCUCUUACAC
rnacentral:rRNA from 1 species